rnacentral:rRNA from 1 species
GGGCCCGCACAAGCGGUGGAGUAUGUGGUUUAAUUCGACGCAACGCGAAGAACCUUACCAGGGCUUGACAUUGAGUGAAAAUCUAAGAGAUUAGAUCCUAUCCUUCGGGAUACACGAAAACAGGUGGUGCAUGGCUGUCGUCAGCUCGUGUCGUGAGAUGUUGGGUUAAGUCCCGCAACGAGCGCAACCCUUAUCCUUUGUUGCCAGCACGUAAAGGUGGGAACUCAAGGGAGACUGCCGCAGACAAUGCGGAGGAAGGCGGGGAUGACGUCAAGUCAUCAUGCCCCUUAUGUCCUGGGCUACACACGUACUACAAUGGGCUUAAACAAAGCGAAGCAAGCCUGCGAAGGUGAGCAAAACGCAUAAAUAAGCUCUCAGUUCGGAUCGGAGGCUGCAACUCGCCUCCGUGAAGUCGGAAUCGCUAGUAAUCGCAGGUCAGCAUACUGCGGUGAAUACGUUCCCGGGCCUU